GGUCGAAUGGUGUAGUUGGGUAAGCUAUAUCAUUCAGCACUGUGCAAUAUGAAGCGGUAAAAGCUAAUGCGUUGUUUCCCUAGUUAUCACGUGUCCUUAACAAGAUUUACGGACAAGGUCCUGAGUUCGAUCCUCAGUUUGAUCA
rnacentral:tRNA from 1 species